rnacentral:rRNA from 1 species
AAAGGGUGCGUAGGCGGCCUGUUAAGUCAGGGGUGAAAGACGGUAGCUCAACUAUCGCAGUGCCCUUGAUACUGACGGGCUUGAAUGGACUAGAGGUAGGCGGAAUGUGACAAGUAGCGGUGAAAUGCAUAGAUAUGUCACAGAACACCGAUUGCGAAGGCAGCUUACUAUGGUUUUAUUGACGCUGAGGCACGAAAGCGUGGGGAUCAAACAGGAUUAGAUACCCUAGU